GGAACAUGUACUCGUUGCGGCGCAACGAUGGUUAAGG
rnacentral:ncRNA from 1 species